AGAACAAAGACGAAGUAAACGGCAUUGUAAACCCAAAAUCUAAAAUGCGAAUUUACAGUAUCAACUUUAUAGGUAUAAUAUAUAAAUAUUGGGUACACCUACACAAUUUUUUUCCAGACAUAAAUAACGCAUCGUGUAUAAUAUUGUAAUUACACGGGUCAACCGAAGCAAUUUCGCGAUCGUAAAAAUUAACGACACGUUUAGUAUACGCAAAUUAUACGCAGUGUCUCACGACGGUUAUCGCAAUA